rnacentral:rRNA from 1 species
GUCAGCUCGUGUCGUGAGAUGUUGGUUAAGUCCCGCAACGAGCGCAACCUUGUGUUUUAGUUGCAAACAGGUCAAGCUGUGCACUCUAGACAGACUGCCGUGGACAACACGGAGGAAGGUGGGGAUGACGUCAAAUCAUCAUGCCCCUUAUGAUCUGGGCUACACACGUGCUACAAUGGCCGGUACAACGGGCAGCGAAGGAGCGAUCCGGAGCGAAUCCUAAAAAGCCGGUCCCAGUUCGGAUUGCAGGCUGAAACUCGCCUACAUGAAGUUGGAGUUGCUAGUAAUCGUGAAUCAGAAUGUCACGGUGAAUACGUUCCCGGGCCUU